rnacentral:miRNA from 1 species
UUUUGUUCGCAGAUACUACAGU